GACGAACGCUGGCGGCGUGCUUAACACAUGCAAGUCGAGCGGUAAGGCCCUUCGGGGUACACGAGCGGCGAACGGGUGAGUAACACGUGGGUGACCUGCCUCUAGCUCUGGGAUAAGCCUGGGAAACUGGGUCUAAUACCGGAUAUGACUCCACGGCGCAUGUUGUGGGGUGGAAAGCCUUGUGUGGCUAGAGAUGGGCCCGCGGCCUAUCAGCUUGUUGGUGGGGUGAUGGCCUACCAAGGCGACGACGGGUAGCCGGCCUCGAGAGGGCGACCGGCCACACUGGGACUGAGACACGGCCCAGACUCCUACGGGAGGCAGCAGUGGGGAAUCUUGCGCAAUGGGCGAAAGCCUGACGCAGCGACGCCGCGUGAGGGAUGACGGCC
rnacentral:rRNA from 1 species